AACGGAUAUCUUGACUCUCGCAUUGAUGAAGAACGCAGCAAAAUACGAUACUUGGUAUGAAUUGCAGAAUCCCUUGAACCAUCGAGUUUUUAAAAGCAAGUUGCACUGGAGGCCAUUAUGCCGAGGGCACGACUGCCUGGGCAUCACACACAGUGUCACCCUCCGUCUCCAUCCCUAACGAAAUCCUGGACCUUGGGCCGGAUAUUGGCCUCCCAUGUGCAUCCGUGCGCGACUGGCCAAAUUGCGCUUCGACAUCAACGCAUAUCACAAUGAUUGGCAGUUGAAGACCUCAUCUAGCUCGUCGUUGUGCACAACUGCAUUGUUCGAGCAGAAUGUGUUGACCUCGAAGGUGCUCCUCACACUUCGACAGCGACCAUAGGUCAGGCAGGAUCACCUGUUGAGUUUAAGUAUAUCAAUAAGCGGAGGUAAAGAAACUAACAAAGAUUCUCCUAGUAAUGACAAACAAACUAGAAAAAACCCAACUUGAGAAUUGGAUGGCUCCAUCGUUCAGAUUGUAGUCUAGAGAAGCGUCAUCGACGGUGGACCGAGCUCAAGUCCUCUAGGAAGGGGUGCUAGAGAGGAUGAGAGCCCCGUUGUGCUCGAACCCUGUCGCAGCACGAAGCACUGUCGAUGAGUCAAGUCGUUUAGGAAUGCAGCCCCAAUCGAGCGGUAAAUUCCGUCCAAGGCUAAAUAUCGUGAGGAAAAGAUGAAAAGAACUUUGAAAAAAGAGUUAAAAAAGUGUUUGAAAUU
rnacentral:rRNA from 1 species